CUUGUACUCCCUCCAUUCGGAAUUACUUGUCGCAGAAAUGGAUGUAUCUAGAUGUAUUUUAGCUCUAGAUACAUCCAUAUUCAAGACAAGUAAUUCUGAACGGAGGGAGUAGCUU
rnacentral:pre_miRNA from 1 species